UACGUAGGCAGCAAGCGUUGUUCGGAGUUACUGGGCGUAAAGAGUGUGUAGGCGGUCGUCCAAGCUCGGUGUGAAAUCUCCCGGCUUAACUGGGAGGGUGCGCCGAAAACUGGAUGGCUGGAGUAUGGGAGAGGAAAGCGGAAUUCCUGGUGUAGCGGUGAAAUGCGUAGAUAUCAGGAGGAACACCUGCGGUGUAGACGGCUUUCUGGACCAUGACUGACGCUGAGACACGAAAGCGUGGGGAGCAAACAGG
rnacentral:rRNA from 1 species